AUCAGAGGGAGAUGGGAAAUUGCCGACCGGUGUAUAAUACGAAGUCUUGGACGUGGAUGAGAUCUGGAACUUUUUUAUUCCUGCAUUGCCUCAAAUCUGGGGUAAUUUUCCUUUUAUUUUUAUUUUUUUCUGGUAGGAGUACCUGGGAGUCUGGGACAGGUCAGAGGCAGCUGCUGCUGCGGAUGGACACGCGACACAUCCGCAGCGGCUAGCCAAUGAGCGGCGACCAAGGGAGCAGGUAGUAGGCCGUGUUCUAGGCUGGCCUUUUCCAUCGCUUUUCUCGCCGGUAUUAUUAGCGCGGAUCGUUCAUCGUUCGGGAUUGGGGUUCUGACUCGGAACCUGAUCAGUGAGUGUGGUCUUCUGAAAGCGAGCAAAGGAGGAUGGGGUUCUCCUUCUUCACCUCCCGAGCCGGUGCUCGACUGCUGGACGGGAUCGCGCGCCCCGGCUUCUCCACCGCCGCGCUUCUGCUCACAGCGGCCAGUGGCGGAGGCCUUGUGGCGUACGCGGAUUCCGCUGCAGAGAGCGCGCCGGACCCAUCUCAGGAUGCUCCCAGGAAGAAGGUGGUGGUUCUUGGGACUGGCUGGGCUGGGACGUCGUUCCUCAAGAACCUCGACUGCUCCAGGUAUGAAGUGAAGGUCAUAUCGCCCCGGAACUACUUCGCGUUCACUCCUCUGCUUCCGAGUGUCACGUGUGGGACUGUCGAGCCGCGCAGCAUUAUUGAACCGGUACGGAGGAUGUUUGAGAAGAAAAACAAGGAUGUCACAUUUUGUGAAGCCGAGUGUUUCAAGAUUGAUGCAAAUAGAAAAACUGUACAUUGCCGUUCUGCUGUUGGAACUAAUCUUGAUGGGAAUGGUGAUUUUAUGUUGGAUUAUGACUACUUAGUUGUUGCUCUUGGGGCUACUGUAAGUACAUUUAACACUCCUGGAGUGCUGGAGCACUGCUGCUUUUUGAAGGAAGUAGAGGAUGCUCAGAAGAUACGGAAGGGUGUGAUAGAUUGUUUUGAAAAAGCAUCACUUCCAAAUAUUAGUGAAGAAGAGAAAAGGAAAAUCCUACAUUUUGUAGUUAUUGGUGGUGGACCUACUGGAGUUGAAUUUGCAGCAGAGAUGCAUGAUUUUCUUGUCGAAGAUUUAGUGAAACUAUAUCCUGCCAUUCAAGACCUCGUGAAGAUAACAAUUAUUCAAUCGGCAGAGCAUAUAUUGACUAUGUUUGAUGAAAGAAUAGCUUCAUUUGCUGAACAAAAGUUCAAGAGGGAUGGCAUCGAAGUGUGCACGGGCUUCAGAGUGAUAAAGGUGUCUGAUGAUUUGAUUACAAUGAAGAGAAAAUCUGAUGGUGAGGAGUUAUCAGUUCCUUACGGAAUGGCUGUUUGGUCUGCUGGCAUUGGUACUCGUCCUGUCGUCAUGGACUUCAUGCAACAAAUUGGGCAGACCAAUCGUCGUGCCUUGGCAACUAACGAGUGGUUAAGGGUUCGCGAGUGUGAAGGCGUCUAUGCAAUUGGCGACUGUGCUACAGUGAGUCAAAGAAAAAUAAUGGACGAUAUUUCAACAGUAUUCAAGAUGGCAGACAAGGACAAUUCCGGCACCUUAACACUAAAAGAGAUCAAUGGUGUUUUAGAUGAUAUAUGUAUAAGAUACCCGCAAGUAGAGCUGUAUAUGAAAAGCAUGCACAUGCUUGACAUUGCGGAUUUAAUAAAAGGCGCAGUUGGCGAUUCUCACAAGGAGUCCAUGGUGGUUGACAUAGAGGAGUUCAAGAAGGCUCUGCGCCACGUUGACUCCCAGGUGAAAAACGCUCCAGCGACGGCCCAGGUCGCCGCACAGCAAGGGCAGUACCUCGCCCAGUGUUUCAACAAGAUGGAGAAAUGCAGAGAGGAGCCCGAAGGCCCUCUGCGCAUGGCAGGGGGGUCCGGCCGCCACUUCUUCCGCCCGUUUCGGUACUUAGCUUUCUGCCCACAGUCCAAAACCAGGGCUUGCAUAGGCGCGUGCUAUGUUUCUGACAAGACUAAUAAUAGCGUAGGAGACUAAUAGUUCAUAUUCAGUCAACAUAGAUGAGUUUUGAUACAAAAGAUGCUACAAGCACUUCGGGCAGUUCGCGCCUCUGGGUGGAGAACAAGCCGCUGCAGAGCUCCCGGGCGACUGGGUCUCCAUGGGCCACAGCACGCAGUGGCUCUGGUACUCCGUGUAUGCCAGCAAGCAAGUGAGCUGGCGCACGCGGGUGCUGGUGGUUUCCGACUGGACUCGCCGCUUCAUAUUCGGGAGGGACUCAAGCCGGAUCUAGCUGCCAAGGAUUCUCUUCUGCACAGGGGGGGGGGGGGGGGGGGGGGUUCGUUCCGUCCGAAGAAUAAUCGGUUUCGCUGCUGCUGGAGCUUGAGCAAGCAAAGCUGUUUCCCCGCGCCUGGCCCUGCCGGCGAAACUGCUGUUCUUUCUUCUGCUACAUGGUAGAUGGCUCUCAAAGCCUCACGCCGGUUACUUUCACUGAGGUUUUAGCUCUGGUUUAUUUGAUGUCCAUAGGUUUUCUUCCUUUGCUUGUGAUCUCAACACAUCCAUCACUAUGAUUCAUUUGUGUGUGAUACAUAUUGCAACUUCAGUUAAAAUCCAACCUUUUCUUAGGAACAGGGCUCUAAAAUCCAGCGUCCUCGUCA